rnacentral:rRNA from 1 species
AUUGAACGCUGGCGGCAGGCUUAACACAUGCAAGUCGAGCGGAGAUGAGGUGCUUGCACCUUAUCUUAGCGGCGGACGGGUGAGUAAUGCUUAGGAAUCUGCCUAUUAGUGGGGGACAACGUUUCGAAAGGAACGCUAAUACCGCAUACGUCCUGCGGGAGAAAGCAGGGGACCUUCGGGCCUUGCGCUAUCAGAUGAGCCUAGGUCGGAUUAGCUAGUUGGUGGGGUAAUGGCUCACCAAGGCGACGAUCCGUAACUGGUCUGAGAGGAUGAUCAGUCACACUGGAACUGAGACACGGUCCAGACUCCUACGGGAGGCAGCAGUGGGGAAUAUUGGACAAUGGGCGAAAGCCUGAUCCAGCCAUGCCGCGUGUGUGAAGAAGGUCUUCGGAUUGUAAAGCACUUUAAGUUGGGAGGAAGGGCAGUAAGUUAAUACCUUGCUGUUUUGACGUUACCGACAGAAUAAGCACCGGCUAACUCUGUGCCAGCCGCCGCCGUAAGAC